rnacentral:rRNA from 1 species
CCUACGGGUGGCAGCAGUGAGGAAUAUUGGUCAAUGGGCUUACGCCUGAACCAGCCAAGUCGCGUGAGGGAAGACUGCCCUCUGGGUUGUAAACCUCUUUUGUCAGGGAGCAACGCCGGCUACGUGUAGACGGACUGAGAGUCCUUGACUAAAAAGCAUCGGCAAACUCCGUGCCAGCAGCCGCGGUAAUACGGAGGAUGCGAGCGUUAUCCGGAUUGAUUGGGUUUAAAGGGUGCGUAGGCGGAAGGCCACUUCAGCGGUAAAAUCGCGGGGCUCAACCGCGCUCCGCCGUUGAUACUGGCGUGCUUGAGUGGGCGAGAGGUAUGCGGAAUGCGAGGUGUAGCGGUGAAAUGCAUAGAUAUCACGCAGAACUCCGAUUGCGAAGGCAGCAUACCGGCGCCCAACUGACGCUGAUGCGCGAAAGCGUGGGUAUCGAACAGGAUUAGAUACCCUUGUAGUC